ACGAAUCAAACAGUGAAAAGUGAC
rnacentral:siRNA from 1 species